GGUAAAACUUAAAUUUUAUAUGACGGUACCUUAAAACGAAAGUGGAGAAACCCAUGCUGCUAUUUAAAACCAUUCACGAAUGGGUCGGUGGAACUAAGGACACAUUUGUACUCACGAGCAAGGGGACUCUCAGAUUUCUGAAGAAUGCAGCAUAAUCAACGAAUUUGCUGAGAAGUUGGAUUACGUAGCUUGCGUAGUGGUAUGGGAAGAACAAUGAUUGACGGGAUAACUAAAGGAAUACUGAGGCUUCUACAGGACAGAUAUUAGCCAUGAUCAACAAAGUUUUAAACAUCAAACCCUGUCAAACUUUAGAUGAUGUUGCAGAUGGUCUGCUCUUCAUUCUUUGUCUGGCCAACUCAAUCGUAAGAUCAUCGCAUGAGAAGGAAUACAAGUGUACAAAGAUACCGUGCUUAUCGUUAUUCACUACACCGAAACACAAACUUCACCGUCUCUGACUGGAACAGAAUCCUGUCGUUAUUGCGGAAGUGACAUACAUCAGCUUGGCGGAACGAUUGAAAUGAUCUUCAGCUGUGCUGGUGGACUGAUCGAUUGUGACGUCAACAACUCAGCAGUGGAAAAAAUGGCGACAUUUCUGGGAAAAUGUUCAUAAUAAAAUGUCUUCUAUAUGAGAAACUUUAAACUCUGUUAUAUGAGAAACGUUAAAAUAUGCUAUUGGAA